rnacentral:lncRNA from 1 species
GGGGGGGGGGGGGGGGGGGGGGGGGGGGGGGGGGGGGGGGGGGGGGGGGGGGGGGGGGGGGGGGGGGGGGGGGGGGGGGGGGGUCUCUGCUCAUGGUGCCCCUUUCCGCCCUUCAGCGCAGCCGCCAUUUUGCCGUGAGGGCAGAGGCGUGAGGGCACAGCGCUCUCCCCUCACAGUGCCCCUUUCCGCCCUUCAUUGCAGCCGCCAUUUUGCCGUGAGGGCAGAGGCGUGAGGGCACAGCGCUCUCCCCUCACAGUGCCCCUUUCCGCCCUUCAGCACAGCAUCACAGCCAUCAGCUGAAGGCUGGCUCUAGGCUCUAGGUCUGCUGUGCACCUCAGGGCAAGGCGAUGGACGUUUUUAUGGCACUUUUCAUGGUCCUAUGCACGUUGGGGUUGCUCAGGUGUCCAUGCACACCUGCCAGUCCAAGUGCCUCAGCAGGACCCUUCCUGCACCUCAGGAGGGGCUGAGGUGGAAAAAAGAACACGGUGACCUCAUGGGAAACAUGGAGCCCAGAGCUACUGCAGCUGCAUUUGGCCCCCCUGGAAGGGAAUAACACACAUAAGAGAGGAAGAAAUAGAAAAAGAGACGCAAAAUAUGGAGUAGCUAAAGUGGGUGUUGCAUUCCUUCCACAAAGGAAGCAUGAACCCAUCCUUCGAGGAGUUGCUGAGCCAGGGGAAGCACAGCAUGGCCACCCGGACAAGAGAAGCACUGCCGCCAGCCUGGCAGAGGUGCAGGACAGCAGUGCCCAGGAGGAGCAGGUCCAGGCUGAGAGGAUGCCAGCCCUCAGGGGAAGAAGCCACCGAGGAAAAGGAAGGAGCCCUUAGAUACUUUUGUAGUAAGAGCAACCUGUCCCAGAGCAAGAGCUGCCUGCUGUAGCUCAGGCUGGACUGAGCACAUCUCUUCUUUCCUCUGGAAGGGGGACAGAGCAUCCCUGCUGCAGCUUUGUCAGAUCUGUGAGCUUGUUUGAGCUGGUGCCUAUGAUCUCCACUGGACAGGGUGAGUUUGCUGGCAGCUUUCAAACAGAAGUGUUAGAAGAGUUUUAUGAGAACAAUAGGUGAGGUGGGCUGACUCUGGCUAAUGCCAGGUGCCCCCCAAAGCCACCCUUGCCACUCCCCUCCUCAGCUGGACAGGGGAGAGGAAGUAUCACAAAAGGCCUGUGGGUGUUGGGAUAAAGACAGGGAGACAUCAUGCACCAGUUACUGUCACAGGCAAAACCGACUCAACUUGGAAAAAUUAA